AAUUCCUUGUCGGGUAAGUUCCGACCUGCACGAAUGGUGUAACGAUCUGGGCACUGUCUCAGCCAUGAGCUCGGUGAAAUUGUAGUAUCGGUGAAGAUGCCGAUUACCCGCAAUGGGACGAAAAGACCCUGUGAACCUUUACUAUAACUUCGUAUUGACUUUGAGUAAGUAAUGUGUAGGAUAGGUGGGAGACAUUGAAGCGGCGUCGCUAGGCGUUGUGGAGUCAACCUUGAAAUACCACCCUUUGCUUAUCUAGAGCCUAACUCAGAGAUGAGGACAGUGCUUGGUGGGUAGUUUGACUGGGGUGGUCGCCUCCAAAAGAGUAACGGAGGCUUCUAAAGGUACCCUCAGCACGCUUGGUAACCGUGCGUAGAGUGUAAUGGCAUAAGGGUGCUUGACUGUGAGACCGACAAGUCGAUCAGGUACGAAAGUAGGAUAUAGUGAUCCGGUGGUUCCGCAUGGAAGGGCCAUCGCUCAA
rnacentral:rRNA from 1 species